CUUGGGGAUGACCCGGAAGGCAUCCCUCUUUCAUCUUCAAUCCAUCGGUAAAUUACUUGAGGCUAUAUUUUUAUUCACCACAUGAUAUGUGUUUUGCUUGGAGCAUCUUCUAUGAUAUGAUUCUUUACUUUUUAGUUUGUCACAAUCAUACUUGCUGCACACAUGCUCUGAGAGACACAUGCUAAAUCGUGAAUUUAUUAGAAUACUCUAUGUGCUUCACUUAUAUCUUUUGAGCCAGGAAUUGUUGCUCUAGUGCUUCACUUAUAUCUUUUAGAGCACGACGGUGUUUAAUUUUGUAAAAAUUAUUGAGCUCUCUUACCUCACUUAUAUUACUUUUAGAGUCCCUAAACAACAUGGUAAUUGGUUUAGGUUAUGAAUUUAGUCCUAAUAUAAUGGGCACCCAAGAGGGAUAUAAUAAAAACUUUCAUAUUAAGUGCAUUGAAUAUGAUGAGAAGUUUGAUUCCUUGCAUAUAAUUUUGAGAUAUGAAGAUGGUAAUAUGAGAGUCAUGCUAGUAAGUAAUUGUGAAUUGGAAGAAAUACUUGUGUUAAAGUUUGUGAUUCCUGUAGCAUGCACGUAUGGUGAACCGUUAUGUGAUGAAGUCGGAGUAUGAUUUGUUUAAUGAUUAUCAUCCUCUGUGCGAGAGUCGGGAUCGCACGAUGGAUAACUCCUACCAAUCCUUCCCCUAGGAGCAUGCGUCUAAUACUUUGCUUCGAUAAGUAAUAGACUUUUGCAAUAAGUAUGUGAGUUAUUUUUGAUUAAUGUCGAGUCCAUGGAUUAUACGCACUCUCUCCCUUCCACCAUUGCUACCCUCUCUAGUACCGUAGAACUUUCGCCGGUGCAUCAAACCCACCUUCCUCAAAUCGGCCAUCAUAUUUUCCUCAAAACAGCCACCAUAACUACCUAUUAUGUCAUUUCUAUAGCCAUUCUGAGAUAUAUUUCCAUGCAACACCACUGUUCUUUAUGACAUGCACCAUCAUUGCCAUAUUGCCUUGCAUGAUCGUAAGAUAGCUAGCAUGAUGUUGUCAUUUCUAUGCUAGAUCAUUGCACAUCCCGGUACACCGCCGAAGGCAUGCAUGUAGAGUCAUAUUUUUGUUUAGGAAUCGAGUUGUAAUUUUUGAGUUCUAAGUAAAUAAAAGUGUGAUGAUUUG
rnacentral:lncRNA from 1 species